rnacentral:sRNA from 1 species
AGACAUCAAUGUGGAGGUGCAAGUCUUGUCGAGUCUUUUGUUCAUACAACCAGCAAUAUGAUCACUUAAACUUGUUUGAGAAACAGUAUAUAGAAAAGCAGCUCUUAUCUGAGUUAAUCCUUGAUUUUUGACAGCGAAAGCAGCGAAAAUAUGUUUAUUUUCACUCAUUCUUACUCUUGUUGUAUGAAUACAAGAAGUUAAACUCUGAGUAAUUAAUUUAAUUGACAGCUUUGAAGUGGACUAUAUCAUGCGAUCAGGCUAAUCAUGUCGUGAACCACUUACCACAUCAUCUGCUCUUGCUUGGAAUUAUUCAAUCUAAAAGAGGGAUGGCAUUGUGUCGGAGAUAAUAUCUCGUAAUAUAUUGUAU